rnacentral:lncRNA from 1 species
UUUUGAAGAUUUAAAAGCUUUUAAUUCCAAUGCUCACUAAAAGCCACAAUGCACUUGUAAUUUCCAACCAUGCUUGCUUAAUGAAUUUGAACAACAAAUAUUUUAAACCACAAUAAUAUAUUGGCUUUACAUAAAAUUUAAUUUACAGUAUGGUUAUUUACUUUGUGCCACUAUAUUGUUAAUACUUAGCUGGACAGAAUUUGCUUGAGGUGAUAAGAAUUUCCUUCACUGUGAUGUAACUCCAAUGAAUCUUGCAGUUAAUUUGUCCCUAGACACUUAGUGAGAUGCAGUUUUGUUUAUUUACUUUACUAAAGAAGACAACCUAAUUUCUUUUAAUGCUUUUAAUAUAAUGAAAUUGAACUGUUUUUAAAAUACUUUGCGUAAAGUAAAAAUUAUUUUCUCGUUACUGUUUUUGAGAUGAGAGGAGAAAUAAAGGGAAAAAGUUGACUGAAACAAUUUGACAAAUUCAAGAUGAAUUUGUGAAAUGUGAUCAAUUCAAAUCUGUAUUUUGAUCAUUUCUUUUAAAUUGAUUAUUUGGCCAUCAAAAUCCAGUUCUACUUCCCAGAUGCUCUACUUAUUUCCUACCUUCUGAUCCAUUAAAAGAACAUUUAACAUGUUCUCAUUACCCACAUUUUGUGAAAUCCCUAAGAUUACAUUAGUGUUACAUUAGUUCUUUUUUCCUUCUAGGUGAAUUUACUAAGCUCCAGCUCAAAAUGUAUCAUCUUUCCCUCCUUUCUGUUCCUAAGAAGCAUAAUAAGAUAUGCUUGAAGUAAAUAGCUGGCCUAGUAUAUAUAUAUUCCACCCCCACCCCCCCGAAUCCGUGAAAAUCCAUCAAUGUGGGAAAUACUUUACACAUGAAAGAGAAAUAGCAAAUGUCUUUCAAAAUAUAGAAUAAAAAACCUCUGCAACAAACACUAUGGAAUCCAUAAGUGUUCUGCCCACUUAGUGCAGCAUCUGUAACUAGUCACAGCCAGUAACUGUUUCAGUAGAAGAUAGAACACUAUGUACUAGUUAUUUAUAGAAUAUUUUUUCCUCAAGUAACAUUCCCUCCUAUUUUCCUAAUACUAUAGGUUAGUUUGUGACUAGAGGGGAUUUUCUUUUAACUC